rfam:Mesorhizobium sp. Root157 contig_2, whole genome shotgun sequence.
GGGCGAUUAGCUCAGUUGGUAGAGCGCUUCGUUUACACCGAAGAUGUCGGCGGUUCGAGUCCGUCAUCGCCCA